rnacentral:rRNA from 2 species
GGUUAAGCGACUAAGCGUACACGGUGGAUGCCCUGGCAGUCAGAGGCGAUGAAGGACGUGCUAAUCUGCGAUAAGCGUCGGUAAGGUGAUAUGAACCGUUAUAACCGGCGAUUUCCGAAUGGGGAAACCCAGUGUGUUUCGACACACUAUCAUUAACUGAAUCCAUAGGUUAAUGAGGCGAACCGGGGGAACUGAAACAUCUAAGUACCCCGAGGAAAAGAAAUCAACCGAGAUUCCCCCAGUAGCGGCGAGCGAACGGGGAGCAGCCCAGAGCCUGAAUCAGUGUGUGUGUUAGUGGAAGCGUCUGGAAAGGCGCGCGAUACAGGGUGACAGCCCCGUACACAAAAAUGCACAUGCUGUGAGCUCGAUGAGUAGGGCGGGACACGUGGUAUCCUGUCUGAAUAUGGGGGGACCAUCCUCCAAGGCUAAAUACUCCUGACUGACCGAUAGUGAACCAGUACCGUGAGGGAAAGGCGAAAAGAACCCCGGCGAGGGGAGUGAAAAAGAACCUGAAACCGUGUACGUACAAGCAGUGGGAGCACGCUUAGGCGUGUGACUGCGUACCUUUUGUAUAAUGGGUCAGCGACUUAUAUUCUGUAGCAAGGUUAACCGAAUAGGGGAGCCGAAGGGAAACCGAGUCUUAACUGGGCGUUAAGUUGCAGGGUAUAGACCCGAAACCCGGUGAUCUAGCCAUGGGCAGGUUGAAGGUUGGGUAACACUAACUGGAGGACCGAACCGACUAAUGUUGAAAAAUUAGCGGAUGACUUGUGGCUGGGGGUGAAAGGCCAAUCAAACCGGGAGAUAGCUGGUUCUCCCCGAAAGCUAUUUAGGUAGCGCCUCGUGAAUUCAUCUCCGGGGGUAGAGCACUGUUUCGGCAAGGGGGUCAUCCCGACUUACCAACCCGAUGCAAACUGCGAAUACCGGAGAAUGUUAUCACGGGAGACACACGGCGGGUGCUAACGUCCGUCGUGAAGAGGGAAACAACCCAGACCGCCAGCUAAGGUCCCAAAGUCAUGGUUAAGUGGGAAACGAUGUGGGAAGGCCCAGACAGCCAGGAUGUUGGCUUAGAAGCAGCCAUCAUUUAAAGAAAGCGUAAUAGCUCACUGGUCGAGUCGGCCUGCGCGGAAGAUGUAACGGGGCUAAACCAUGCACCGAAGCUGCGGCAGCGACGCUUAUGCGUUGUUGGGUAGGGGAGCGUUCUGUAAGCCUGUGAAGGUGUGCUGUGAGGCAUGCUGGAGGUAUCAGAAGUGCGAAUGCUGACAUAAGUAACGAUAAAGCGGGUGAAAAGCCCGCUCGCCGGAAGACCAAGGGUUCCUGUCCAACGUUAAUCGGGGCAGGGUGAGUCGACCCCUAAGGCGAGGCCGAAAGGCGUAGUCGAUGGGAAACAGGUUAAUAUUCCUGUACUUGGUGUUACUGCGAAGGGGGGACGGAGAAGGCUAUGUUGGCCGGGCGACGGUUGUCCCGGUUUAAGCGUGUAGGCUGGUUUUCCAGGCAAAUCCGGAAAAUCAAGGCUGAGGCGUGAUGACGAGGCACUACGGUGCUGAAGCAACAAAUGCCCUGCUUCCAGGAAAAGCCUCUAAGCAUCAGGUAACAUCAAAUCGUACCCCAAACCGACACAGGUGGUCAGGUAGAGAAUACCAAGGCGCUUGAGAGAACUCGGGUGAAGGAACUAGGCAAAAUGGUGCCGUAACUUCGGGAGAAGGCACGCUGAUAUGUAGGUGAAGUCCCUCGCGGAUGGAGCUGAAAUCAGUCGAAGAUACCAGCUGGCUGCAACUGUUUAUUAAAAACACAGCACUGUGCAAACACGAAAGUGGACGUAUACGGUGUGACGCCUGCCCGGUGCCGGAAGGUUAAUUGAUGGGGUUAGCGCAAGCGAAGCUCUUGAUCGAAGCCCCGGUAAACGGCGGCCGUAACUAUAACGGUCCUAAGGUAGCGAAAUUCCUUGUCGGGUAAGUUCCGACCUGCACGAAUGGCGUAAUGAUGGCCAGGCUGUCUCCACCCGAGACUCAGUGAAAUUGAACUCGCUGUGAAGAUGCAGUGUACCCGCGGCAAGACGGAAAGACCCCGUGAACCUUUACUAUAGCUUGACACUGAACAUUGAGCCUUGAUGUGUAGGAUAGGUGGGAGGCUUAGAAGUGUGGACGCCAGUCUGCAUGGAGCCGACCUUGAAAUACCACCCUUUAAUGUUUGAUGUUCUAACGUUGACCCGUAAUCCGGGUUGCGGACAGUGUCUGGUGGGUAGUUUGACUGGGGCGGUCUCCUCCUAAAGAGUAACGGAGGAGCACGAAGGUUGGCUAAUCCUGGUCGGACAUCAGGAGGUUAGUGCAAUGGCAUAAGCCAGCUUGACUGCGAGCGUGACGGCGCGAGCAGGUGCGAAAGCAGGUCAUAGUGAUCCGGUGGUUCUGAAUGGAAGGGCCAUCGCUCAACGGAUAAAAGGUACUCCGGGGAUAACAGGCUGAUACCGCCCAAGAGUUCAUAUCGACGGCGGUGUUUGGCACCUCGAUGUCGGCUCAUCACAUCCUGGGGCUGAAGUAGGUCCCAAGGGUAUGGCUGUUCGCCAUUUAAAGUGGUACGCGAGCUGGGUUUAGAACGUCGUGAGACAGUUCGGUCCCUAUCUGCCGUGGGCGCUGGAGAACUGAGGGGGGCUGCUCCUAGUACGAGAGGACCGGAGUGGACGCAUCACUGGUGUUCGGGUUGUCAUGCCAAUGGCACUGCCCGGUAGCUAAAUGCGGAAGAGAUAAGUGCUGAAAGCAUCUAAGCACGAAACUUGCCCCGAGAUGAGUUCUCCCUGACUCCUUGAGAGUCCUGAAGGAACGUUGAAGACGACGACGUUGAUAGGCCGGGUGUGUAAGCGCAGCGAUGCGUUGAGCUAACCGGUACUAAUGAACCGUGAGGCUUAACCUU